UCCCAAGUUACUCACAGUGUUUGCAAAG
rnacentral:piRNA from 1 species